GCCGCUGUGUACCAGGCUCUGCUUCAGCUUGUGGAGCCACGAAUCUUGCAUUCCCGACCGGAUGUGAAGCAAACAGGAAGCUCUCCUGGCCUCACUUCUUCCUCCGCUCACAGAAAGAGGUCCAGGUGCAGAGACUUUGAGGCUGAAGAAGGUGAUGUAACUUUCCUUGACCACUGAACCUGGAAGUCUGGCCCUAAAACUUAACCAUACACGAGCCCGUCCAAAUCCCAAAGGAAGCCUGGAGAACAUUCGUGCAUUUAAUGUGUGGCCCAAGACAACUCUUGUUUCAGCGUGGCCCAGAGAUGCCGGAAGGGUGGACAUCCCUGAGGGGGAAGCCUGGGUUCUCCGAUGACCCUGUGGAGUAGAGAGACCGCACCUUCCCUGGAGAGUCCCAUGAGGGUGAAAUAAACCUUUGUGGGGUUGUCUUUGAACUCCGGGAUUUUGUUAAGGCAGUUGACCUGAUACAGUCACGCCACAUAAAUAGUGGAAUCAUACGGUAGAUACAGUUUUUAGGCUGAUUUAUUAUGAUUAUGACAUAGCAUUGAUCACAACCAUGUUAUUAAACAACUUCCUGCGGCAUGAUUUCAGUGGCGUUUAUCUCCCCCGUCCCCUGUGGUUGGGCGUUUCAGUUGCUUCCAACGUCUUGUUUUUAUGUCCUGCUCUGGUGGACACCCGCGUGGCGAGUCAGGGCACCCCAUCCGGAGAGGCACCGGUUCCCUCCACUUGGGCUUCCUGCCUUGUGAGUCGCUCCUGUGUUGGUGCUGAAGGAGGGGCCCGGUUCCAGGGGGGCCGUUCAGAGAAACACGUGUGGUAGGAGGGAAUGCACGU